UGGGGGAUCUUCGGACCUCACGCUAUCAGAGUAGCCUGCGUUGGAUUAGCUAGUUGGUAGGGUAAAGGCCUACCCAAGGCGACGAUCCAUAGCUGGUCUGAGAGGACUAUCAGCCACACUGGAACUGAGACACGGUCCAG
rnacentral:rRNA from 1 species